rnacentral:rRNA from 1 species
CAGUAGCCGCGGGAAUACGAGGGGGGCAAGCGUUGUUCGGAAUUAUUGGGCGUAAAGGGUGCGUAGGCGGUUUCGCAAGUCUUGUGUGAAAUCUAUGGGCUCAACCCAUAGUCUGUACAGGAAACUGCGAGGCUUGAGGAUGGGAGAGGUGAGUGGAAUUUCCGGUGUAGCGGUGAAAUGCGUAGAUAUCGGAAGGAACACCUGUGGCGAAAGCGGCUCACUGGACCAUUUCUGACGCUGAUGCACGAAAGCUAGGGGAGCAAACAGGAUUAGAUACCCCCGUAGUCCCUGUCUCUUAUAC